UUUCCGUAGGUGAACCUGCGGAAGGAUCAUUAAUGAGUUGUCAUGGGGUUCGAUGCUGGCAGCCAAUUUUUGGAUGCAUGUGCUUGCCCUAACAAUCAUCUUCCAAACACCUGUGUACAUUUUUGAGGGAGUCUUGAGUUGGUUGCCGCUCUUGGGUGAUUUUCUCACAUUCCCUUAAAUCAUUAUACGCUAUUAACAAUGUUGAACGUGCUCUGUGCCGCAAGGCUAUUAAUAUAAUACAACUUUUAACAACGGAUCUCUUGGCUCUC
rnacentral:misc_RNA from 1 species